UCAGACGAUGCGUCAUGCAUAUCAAUAAGCGGAGGAAAAGAAACUAACAAGGAUUCCCCUAGUAACGGCGAGUGAAGCGGGAAGAGCUCAAAUUUGAAAUCUUAAAGGGUUUCCCUUUGCGAAUUGUAGUUUAAAGAAGUGUUUUCUGUUGAGGUUUUGGUAAAAGUUCUUUGGAAUAGGACAUCAUAGAGGGUGAGAAUCCCGUAUUUGACCUUUACUUUCAACUUUGUGAUACACUUUCAAAGAGUCGGAUUGUUUGGGAAUGCAGUCCAGAAUGGGUGGUAAAUUUCAUCUAAAGCUAAAUAUUGGCGAGAGACCGAUAGCGAACAAGUACCGUGAGGGAAAGAUGAAAAGAACUUUGAAAAGAGAGUUAAACAGUACGUGAAAUUGUCAAAAGGGAAGCGUUUGACACCAGUGUUGUUUUUCUGAAAAUCAAUUAAAGAACUGUUUAUGCUAAGCUGUUUAGACUUUAUCAGCUAACUGUUUAGUUUUGAGCUUUUCUUUAAUGCACUUUUCAGUUAACAAGUCAACAUCAAUUUCUUUUGCUGUAAAAAAGCUUGAGGAAGGUGGCUUGAGAUUCGUCUUAAGUGUUUAUAGCCUCUUGCCUAUGCAGUCGGAGAGAUUGAGGUCUGCAGCGUAGAUCCUUCGGGGCUAAAUGCAUUUGUGCUAAGUUAUAGCAUUUUAUAGACAACUUGUUGACUAUGAUUUGUCUUGUAGCUUACUCGCUUAUGUUAUUUUACCUACGCUUAGGAUGUUGAAGAUGUAGCACAUCAU
rnacentral:rRNA from 1 species